rnacentral:rRNA from 1 species
CUAACUAGGAUUCCCUUAGUAGCGGCGAGCGAACAGGGAAGAGCCCAGCACUGAAUCCCGCGGUCAGAUCGAUCGCCGGGAAAUGUAGUGUUAGGAAGGGUCCGUUAUCUUCGCGCCCGUCGACUCGUCCAAGUCCAUCUUGAACGGGGCCACAACCCAUAGAGGGUGCCAGGCCCGUAGGACGAAGACGGUUGCGGAGAGGAUCACUUCCGAGAGUCGGGUUGCUUGAGAGUGCAGCCCUAAGUGGGUGGUAAACUCCAUCUAAGGCUAAAUAUGACCACGAGACCGAUAGCGAACAAGUACCGCGAGGGAAAGUUGAAAAGAACUUUGAAGAGAGAGUUCAAUAGUACGUGAAACCGUUCAGGGGUAAACCUGAGAAACCCGAAAGGUCGAACGGAGAGAUUCAUUCGCGGUUCGGGCGGUGAUCUAGAGCGUUGGGAAGACGUUACGUUCCUCGUGAGCGAGACGCCCCUUCGUCUCGGAUCCGCCGUCGAACGCGUGCACUUCUUUCCUAGUAGGACGUCGCGAUCCGUUGAGUGCCGGUCGAAGGGUCCGUAAGGAAGCCCGCGAACGCGAUGAAAAUCGUCGUUUGCGGACCUGCGGUCUCCUGUCCGGCCGCUCGACGGUGUACAGACGGUGAGAGACCGCGAUUUUCGCGCCUGGUCGGUCGCAAACGCGCUACGUGCGUCGGCUUUCGGUUUUACCGAUGAUGCCGGCCUCUAGCGGUUGUUGGCGAUCGUACUCUCGGGCAGAUCUCUUUUUAACCGAUCUGCGACGCUACAGCUUUGGGUACUCUCAGGGCCCGUCUUGAAACACGGACCAAGGAGUCCAGUGUGUACGCGAGUCAUUGGGUCCGACUAAACCUAAAGGCGUAAUGAAAGUAAAGAUCCGCAAGGAUCUAGGGAAGAUGACCGACCUUCUGGUCGGUCCGCACUCCCGGGGUGUCUCUAUCUUUUAUAGAUGAGGCGCACCAAGAGCGUACACGCUGGGACCCGAAAGAUGGUGAACUAUGCCCGGUCAGGACGAAGUCAGGGGAAACCCUGAUGGAGGUCCGUAGCGGUUCUGACGUGCAAAUCGAUCGUCUGAACUGGGUAUANNNNNNNNNNNNNNNNNNNNNNNNNNNNNNNNNNNNNNNNNNNNNNNNNNNNNNNNNNNNNNNNNNNNNNNNNNNNNNNNNNNNNNNNNNNNNNNNNNNNUGAAGCCGCGAGAUCACGGAUCAGAGUGCAAAGCGGGCCAUUUUUGGUAAGCAGAACCGGCGCUGUGGGAUGAACCAAACGCCGAGUUAAAGCGCCUAAAUCAACGCUUAUGGGACACCAUGAAAGGCGUUGGUAACUUAAGACAGCAGGACGGUGGCCAUGGAAGUUGGAAUCCGCUAAGGAGUGUGUAACAACUCACCUGCCGAAGUUACUAGCCCUGAAAAUGGAUGGCGCUAAAGCGUUGUGCUUAUACUCGGCCGUCAGUGGCAAGUGCGGUCGCGUAAGCGGCUAUGAAGCCCUGACGAGUAGGGGGGUCGCGACGGUGAGCGCAGAAGGGUUGGCCGUGAGGCCGCCUGGAGCCGCCGUCGGUGCAGAUCUUGGUGGUAGUAGCAAAUACUCCAGCGAGGCCCUGGAGAACUGAGGUGGAGAAGGGUUUCGUGUGAACAGUCGUUGCACACGAGUCAGUCGAUCCUAAGCCCUAGGCGAAAGCCGAAGUCGAUGCGGUUGUGUCCAUUAGUACUCGUAGUAGCUUGUGCCCUCUUUCGAGAGAGCAGUKCGGCUCUCGUACGAUGUUAGAACGCACCCAUCUGGGCGAAAGGGAAUCCGGUUCCUAUUCCGGAACCCGGCCGCGCAACCGUCGUAUAAACCGGGCCCUCAAUUGAGAGUUCGUCGGGGUAACCCGAAAGGACCCGGAGACGCCGUAGAGAUAUCCGGGAAGAGUUUUCUUUUCUGCAUAAGCGUUCGGGAUCCAUGGAAUCCUUUAGCAGGGAGAUAUGGAUUGGAACGCGAAGAGCACCGUAGUUACUGCGGUGUCCGGAUUAUCUCUUCGGCCCUUGAAAAUCCGGGAGAGGGCCACGUGUAGGUGUCGCGCCGGUUCGUACC